UACAGAGGUCUCAAGCGUUGUUCGGAUUCAUUGGGCGUAAAGGGUGCGUAGGCGGCGCGGUAAGUCGGGUGUGAAAUCUCGGAGCUUAACUCCGAAACUGCAUUCGAUACUGCCGUGCUUGAGGACUGGAGAGGAGACUGGAAUUUACGGUGUAGCGGUGAAAUGCGUAGAUAUCGUAAGGAAGACCGAGUGGCGAAGGCGGGUCUCUGGACAGUUCCUGACGCUGAGGCACGAAGGUCAGGGGAGCAAACGGG
rnacentral:rRNA from 1 species